UGCUCUCGGGUGACGAGUGGCGGACGGGUGAGUAAUGUCUGGGAAACUGCCUGAUGGAGGGGGAUAACUACUGGAAACGGUAGCUAAUACCGCAUAACGUCGCAAGACCAAAGAGGGGGACCUUCGGGCCUCUUGCCAUCAGAUGUGCCCAGAUGGGAUUAGCUAGUAGGUGGGGUAACGGCUCACCUAGGCGACGAUCCCUAGCUGGUCUGAGAGGAUGACCAGCCACACUGGAACUGAGACACGGUCCAGACUCCUACGGGAGGCAGCAGUGGGGAAUAUUGCACAAUGGGCGCAAGCCUGAUGCAGCCAUGCCGCGUGUAUGAAGAAGGCCUUCGGGUUGUAAAGUACUUUCAGCGGGGAGGAAGGCGAUAAGGUUAAUAACCUUGUCGAUUGACGUUACCCGCAGAAGAAGCACCGGCUAACUCCGUGCCAGCAGCCGCGGUAAUACGGAGGGUGCAAGCGUUAAUCGGAAUUACUGGGCGUAAAGCGCACGCAGGCGGUCUGUCAAGUCGGAUGUGAAAUCCCCGGGCUCAACCUGGGAACUGCAUUCGAAACUGGCAGGCUGGAGUCUUGUAGAGGGGGGUAGAAUUCCAGGU
rnacentral:rRNA from 1 species